UAUAGAACUCGACAUAUGGGCUGAACAAUGAACAAUGUUUGGGCUGCAGGACAGAUUCCGACUUCUCCGUUGUUGCUACCAUUUGAACUUGAAAAUGACAUUUUUAAAUCUUGAACUCCUCAUAAAAGUUUUAGGCCUAUGUCUUAGCUUUCCAUA
rfam:Populus trichocarpa isolate Nisqually-1 chromosome 10, whole genome shotgun sequence.